rnacentral:misc_RNA from 1 species
UCCGGUUUGUCACCGGCAGUCCCAUUAGAGUGCCCAACUGAAUGUGGCAACUAAUGGCAAGGGUUGCGCUCGUUGCGGGACUUAACCCAACAUCUCACGACACGAGCUGACGACAGCCAUGCAGCACCUGUGUCCAGGUUCCCUUUCGGGCACCCCUCCAUCUCUGGAGGGUUCCUGGCAUGUCAAGGGUAGGUAAGGUGGGGAUGACGUGUCGUUACCUUA